UAGGGAAUCUUCCGCAAUGGACGCAAGUCUGACGGAGCAACGCCGCGUGAGUGAAGAAGGAUUUCGGUUCGUAAAACUCUGUUGUUAGAGAAGAACAGCGCAUAGAGUAACUGUUAUGCGUGUGACGGUAUCUAACCAGAAAGCCACGGCUAACUACGUGCCAGCAGCCGCGGUAAUACGUAGGUGGCAAGCGUUGUCCGGAUUUAUUGGGCGUAAAGCGAGCGCAGGCGGUCAAUUAAGUCUGAUGUGAAAGCCCCCGGCUCAACCGGGGAGGGUCAUUGGAAACUGGUUGACUUGAGUGCAGAAGAGGAGAGUGGAAUUCCAUGUGUAGCGGUGAAAUGCGUAGAUAUAUGGAGGAACACCAGUGGCGAAGGCGACUCUCUGGUCUGUAACUGACGCUGAGGCUCGAAAGCGUGGUUAGCAAACAGG
rnacentral:rRNA from 1 species